UCAAUCUUUUCUCCUUUUCUUUGAAAACUACCAUGAGAAUAUCGUUCCGAUCAACCAUAGCAAGAGAGGAGUGGUUGUGAAUUAAAAAAAUGAAGAAGAAACAAGAUGGAGAGAGAAACAGAAAAAAAAUAAAGAUGGAGUGAAGGAGAGAGAAUUUGCGUGGGGGUGAGAGGUGCGGUGGGGGGUUUUUAAAGAAUAUUUUUGACUUUAGACGCG
rnacentral:lncRNA from 1 species